rnacentral:rRNA from 1 species
AGUGAACGCUGGCGGUAGGCCUAACACAUGCAAGUCGAACGGCAGCACAGGAGAGCUUGCUCUCUGGGUGGCGAGUGGCGGACGGGUGAGGAAUACAUCGGAAUCUACUCUGUAGUGGGGGAUAACGUAGGGAAACUAACGCUAAUACCGCAUACGACCUACGGGUGAAAGCAGGGGACCUUCGGGCCUUGCGCGAUUGAAUGAGGCGAUGUCGGAUUAGCUAGUUGGCGGGGUAAAGGCCCACCAAGGCGACGAUCCGUAGCUGGUCUGAGAGGAUGAUCAGCCACACUGGAACUGAGACACGGUCCAGACUCCUACGGGAGGCAGCAGUGGGGAAUAUUGGACAAUGGGCGCAAGCCUGAUCCAGCCAUACCGCGUGGGUGAAGAAGGCCUUCGGGUUGUAAAGCCCUUUUGUUGGGAAAGAAAUCCAGCUGGCUAAUACCCGGUUGGGAUGACGGUACCCAAAGAAUAAGCACCGGCUAACUUCGUGCCAGCAGCCGCAGUAA